rnacentral:tRNA from 1 species
AAGAAUUUAGGCUUACUUAGACCAAGGGCCUUCAAAGCCCUAAGAAGAAGUGAAAACCUUCUAAUUCUUG